UUAAGCGACUAAGCGUACACGGUGGAUGCCCUGGCAGUCAGAGGCGAUGAAGGACGUGCUAAUCUGCGAUAAGCGUCGGUAAGGUGAUAUGAACCGUUAUAACCGGCGAUUUCCGAAUGGGGAAACCCAGUGUGUUUCGACACACUAUCAUUAACUGAAUCCAUAGGUUAAUGAGGCGAACCGGGGGAACUGAAACAUCUAAGUACCCCGAGGAAAAGAAAUCAACCGAGAUUCCCCCAGUAGCGGCGAGCGAACGGGGAGCAGCCCAGAGCCUGAAUCAGUGUGUGUGUUAGUGGAAGCGUCUGGAAAGGCGCGCGAUACAGGGUGACAGCCCCGUACACAAAAAUGCACAUGCUGUGAGCUCGAUGAGUAGGGCGGGACACGUGGUAUCCUGUCUGAAUAUGGGGGGACCAUCCUCCAAGGCUAAAUACUCCUGACUGACCGAUAGUGAACCAGUACCGUGAGGGAAAGGCGAAAAGAACCCCGGCGAGGGGAGUGAAAAAGAACCUGAAACCGUGUACGUACAAGCAGUGGGAGCACGCUUAGGCGUGUGACUGCGUACCUUUUGUAUAAUGGGUCAGCGACUUAUAUUCUGUAGCAAGGUUAACCGAAUAGGGGAGCCGAAGGGAAACCGAGUCUUAACUGGGCGUUAAGUUGCAGGGUAUAGACCCGAAACCCGGUGAUCUAGCCAUGGGCAGGUUGAAGGUUGGGUAACACUAACUGGAGGACCGAACCGACUAAUGUUGAAAAAUUAGCGGAUGACUUGUGGCUGGGGGUGAAAGGCCAAUCAAACCGGGAGAUAGCUGGUUCUCCCCGAAAGCUAUUUAGGUAGCGCCUCGUGAAUUCAUCUCCGGGGGUAGAGCACUGUUUCGGCAAGGGGGUCAUCCCGACUUACCAACCCGAUGCAAACUGCGAAUACCGGAGAAUGUUAUCACGGGAGACACACGGCGGGUGCUAACGUCCGUCGUGAAGAGGGAAACAACCCAGACCGCCAGCUAAGGUCCCAAAGUCAUGGUUAAGUGGGAAACGAUGUGGGAAGGCCCAGACAGCCAGGAUGUUGGCUUAGAAGCAGCCAUCAUUUAAAGAAAGCGUAAUAGCUCACUGGUCGAGUCGGCCUGCGCGGAAGAUGUAACGGGGCUAAACCAUGCACCGAAGCUGCGGCAGCGACGCUGAUGCGUUGUUGGGUAGGGGAGCGUUCUGUAAGCCUGUGAAGGUGUACUGUGAGGUAUGCUGGAGGUAUCAGAAGUGCGAAUGCUGACAUAAGUAACGAUAAAGCGGGUGAAAAGCCCGCUCGCCGGAAGACCAAGGGUUCCUGUCCAACGUUAAUCGGGGCAGGGUGAGUCGACCCCUAAGGCGAGGCCGAAAGGCGUAGUCGAUGGGAAACAGGUUAAUAUUCCUGUACUUGGUGUUACUGCGAAGGGGGGACGGAGAAGGCUAUGUUGGCCGGGCGACGGUUGUCCCGGUUUAAGCGUGUAGGCUGGUUUUCCAGGCAAAUCCGGAAAAUCAAGGCUGAGGCGUGAUGACGAGGCACUACGGUGCUGAAGCAACAAAUGCCCUGCUUCCAGGAAAAGCCUCUAAGCAUCAGGUAACAUCAAAUCGUACCCCAAACCGACACAGGUGGUCAGGUAGAGAAUACCAAGGCGCUUGAGAGAACUCGGGUGAAGGAACUAGGCAAAAUGGUGCCGUAACUUCGGGAGAAGGCACGCUGAUAUGUAGGUGAAGCGACUUGCUCGUGGAGCUGAAAUCAGUCGAAGAUACCAGCUGGCUGCAACUGUUUAUUAAAAACACAGCACUGUGCAAACACGAAAGUGGACGUAUACGGUGUGACGCCUGCCCGGUGCCGGAAGGUUAAUUGAUGGGGUCAGCGCAAGCGAAGCUCUUGAUCGAAGCCCCGGUAAACGGCGGCCGUAACUAUAACGGUCCUAAGGUAGCGAAAUUCCUUGUCGGGUAAGUUCCGACCUGCACGAAUGGCGUAAUGAUGGCCAGGCUGUCUCCACCCGAGACUCAGUGAAAUUGAACUCGCUGUGAAGAUGCAGUGUACCCGCGGCAAGACGGAAAGACCCCGUGAACCUUUACUAUAGCUUGACACUGAACAUUGAGCCUUGAUGUGUAGGAUAGGUGGGAGGCUUUGAAGUGUGGACGCCAGUCUGCAUGGAGCCGACCUUGAAAUACCACCCUUUAAUGUUUGAUGUUCUAACGUUGACCCGUGAUCCGGGUUGCGGACAGUGUCUGGUGGGUAGUUUGACUGGGGCGGUCUCCUCCUAAAGAGUAACGGAGGAGCACGAAGGUUGGCUAAUCCUGGUCGGACAUCAGGAGGUUAGUGCAAUGGCAUAAGCCAGCUUGACUGCGAGCGUGACGGCGCGAGCAGGUGCGAAAGCAGGUCAUAGUGAUCCGGUGGUUCUGAAUGGAAGGGCCAUCGCUCAACGGAUAAAAGGUACUCCGGGGAUAACAGGCUGAUACCGCCCAAGAGUUCAUAUCGACGGCGGUGUUUGGCACCUCGAUGUCGGCUCAUCACAUCCUGGGGCUGAAGUAGGUCCCAAGGGUAUGGCUGUUCGCCAUUUAAAGUGGUACGCGAGCUGGGUUUAGAACGUCGUGAGACAGUUCGGUCCCUAUCUGCCGUGGGCGCUGGAGAACUGAGGGGGGCUGCUCCUAGUACGAGAGGACCGGAGUGGACGCAUCACUGGUGUUCGGGUUGUCAUGCCAAUGGCACUGCCCGGUAGCUAAAUGCGGAAGAGAUAAGUGCUGAAAGCAUCUAAGCACGAAACUUGCCCCGAGAUGAGUUCUCCCUGACUCCUUGAGAGUCCUGAAGGAACGUUGAAGACGACGACGUUGAUAGGCCGGGUGUGUAAGCGCAGCGAUGCGUUGAGCUAACCGGUACUAAUGAACCGUGAGGCUUAACCU
rnacentral:rRNA from 1 species